UAUAGCACAAGUGCAAGGUACAACUCGACGAAGCACGGACAGAUUCUUUAAACACAGAUUUGGCUUAUUUCUUUCAUUUCUUUCAUUUGGCUUGGAUGAUUUUGGAGAGAAUUUCAAGGGGGAUUUUAUCAAGCAUCAAAAAUUUGUGGCACGAGGAGGCUAAUUUAAGAGGCAAGGGUAUAGCGAGCUAGAGCUUUAGCCGGUUUGAGAUCCAGGUACACCACGGACUGAGUGAGGAUUU